CAGGUGUGUUUUCUAGUGUAGGUUUAAUGUAAAUAUAGGUUUAAUGUACUAUAAUUGUGUAAUGUAAAUGUAGGUUUAAUGUAAUGUAAUGUGAAUGUAAAUGUAGGUUUAAUGUAGGUUUAAUGUAACUGUAAUUGUGGUUCCCUAGGGUUAAAUGAGUUGUUGGUUGAAUGGUAUGAUCUAACGGGUGAAAAUGAUCAAAGGGUAAAUUUCACGGCCGAAAAUAUAGAAUUCAGACUACGCGGGGAAUUUCACGGCCGAAAAUAUAGUAGUCAGACUCUAUAUUUGUAUUAUUUGUUUGAAAAAAAUAUAGAAUGGAGAUGAGUUUUGGUCCAAUAGACCAGAAUU
rnacentral:lncRNA from 1 species